GAGGUCUCGAUCUGAACAGGUUCAGAAUUGGGUUGUUGAAGGAAGGGGCUUUGGAGGUGGGUUUAAUCAGAUCGAAGCCAUUAGGUCUGGGAGGAGAGGAACACAGAACUACUGAGAGAGACAGAGAGAGAGAGAAGGGUGGAGGUUG